rnacentral:rRNA from 1 species
UAUCUGAACUCUUAACGAACUCAUGAGUAUU